UACAGAGGUCUCAAGCGUUGUUCGGAUUCAUUGGGCGUAAAGGGUGCGUAGGUGGCGCUGUAAGUCAGGUGUGAAAUUUCGGAGCUUAACUCCGAAACUGCAUUUGAUACUGCGGUGCUCGAGGACUGGAGAGGAGACUGGAAUUUACGGUGUAGCAGUGAAAUGCGUAGAGAUCGUAAGGAAGACCAGCGGCGAAGGCGGGUCUCUGGACAGUUCCUGACACUGAGGCACGAAGGCCAGGGGAGCAAACGGG
rnacentral:rRNA from 1 species